UGCUCUUUACCUGGGGUUGCUGUCGAGGACCCUGUGCAAGACUCGGCCGGUUUUUCUUUCUCCCUGAUGGACAGACCCAAACAUAGCCGCGCAGCAUCGUGAAGGGCUGGGGCCUUCACGCGUCUGUGGCUGUGGAAGGGCCUGGUUUCCUCAGGAGGCAUGUCGGGCCCCAGGCCUGUGGUGCUGAGCGGGCCUUCGGGAGCUGGGAAGAGCACCCUGCUGAAGAGGCUGUUCCAGGAGCACAGCGGCAUCUUUGGCUUCAGCGUGUCCCGUCUCUCUGCUAGAUACCACAAGGAACCCGAGGCCCGGCGAGGAGAACGGCAAAGGGAGGUGAUGCAGCGUGACAUAGCAGCCGGCGACUUCAUCGAGCAUGCCGAGUUCUCGGGGAACCUGUAUGGCACGAGCAAGGCGGCGGUGCAGGCCGUGCAGGCCAUGAACCGCAUCUGCGUGCUGGACGUGGACCUGCAGGGUGUGCGGAACAUCAAGGCCACCGAUCUGCGGCCCAUCUACAUCUCUGUGCAGCCGCCUUCACUGCAUGUGCUGGUGUGUGCUGGGCAGGGUUGGGGGCUGGGGGCCAGGGCAUGCCAGGCUCUGAUUGCCACCCCCUUUUUAGGAGCAGCGGCUGCGGCGGCGCAACACUGAAACGGAGGAGAGCCUGGCGAAGCGGCUGGCUGCUGCCCAGGCCGACAUGGAGAGCAGUGAGUGUGCC
rnacentral:sRNA from 1 species